UUGGGGCAACUAUGGAGCAAAACAAAACCUCCACGAACUAAGACUCAUCGUCUAUUAUAGACCCACAAGUCAAUAAUAACCAAUAUUGACCCAGUAAUACUGACCAUCGAACCAAGUUACCCCGGGGAUAACAGCGCUAUCCUCUCCAAGAGUCCACAUCACCGAGAGGGUUUACGACCUCGAUGUUGGAUCAGGGCCCCCAGGCGGUGCAGCCGCUGCCAAAGGUUCGUUUGUUCAACGACUAACGCCCUACGUGAUCUGAGUUCAGACCG
rnacentral:rRNA from 1 species